rnacentral:rRNA from 1 species
UAUGAGCCUUAAUAAUGGAUAUCCUAGCUCUUACAUCGAUGAAGUGCGCAAUAAAAUAUGAUAUAUGGUGUGAAUUAUAGAACCCCUUGAACCAUUAAGUUCUUGAAUGCAAGUUGUGCUCAAGGCUAACUGGUUGAGGGCACAUCUACUUGAAUGUCACGG